rnacentral:rRNA from 1 species
UACGUAGGGUGCAAGCGUUAAUCGGAAUUACUGGGCGUAAAGCGUGCGCAGGCGGUCGUGCAAGACAGGUGUGAAAUCCCCGGGCUUAACCUGGGAACUGCACUUGUGACUGCACGGCUGGAGUACGGCAGAGGGGGAUGGAAUUCCGCGUGUAGCAGUGAAAUGCGUAGAUAUGCGGAGGAACACCGAUGGCGAAGGCAGUCCCCUGGGCCUGUACUGACGCUCAUGCACGAAAGCGUGGGGAGCAAACAGG